rnacentral:rRNA from 1 species
UACAGAGGUCUCAAGCGUUGUUCGGAUUCAUUGGGCGUAAAGAGCUCGUAGGCGGCUUGUCGCGUCGGAUGUGAAAGCCCGGGGCUUAACUCCGGGUCUGCAUUCGAUACGGGCAGGCUAGAGUUCGGUAGGGGAGAUCGGAAUUCCUGGUGUAGCGGUGAAAUGCGCAGAUAUCAGGAGGAACACCAAUGGCGAAGGCAGCUCGCUGGGACGGUACUGACGCUGAGACGCGAAAGCGUGGGGAGCAAACAGG